CCUGGUAUUAAAACUACAUGGAAAGGAAGUCACUAUAAGAUGACAAAGCCUCCAGACAUUUGCAAAUACGACAGAGGCUUUCCUAAACUUUUUAAGAUAUUCAGCCACAUUUCAGGUGUGAUACUUAACUAUAGGAAGGAAUAGGUAAUAAUAUGGAGGAAAAUACAGGGUUUGCAAUAUACUCAAAAUGUUAUGUUUUAAGUCGCAUCAUACCACAACCACUACUAACUUAGUAUCACAGCUUGCCUUAAAAAGAAUCUUGGGAACUGCAGAAAAUAAGCUGCAAGAAAUUUUUGGCCUUUUAAUUAAGAGUUCCCAAACUUUGCUACAAGAAUUUUGUUAUGUGUCAAGCUGGUUAGACUGACCCAGAGGAAAUACAAAAUAUGAAAUAUAAAAAUAGCUAGGUGGAUUGUCAUAGAGUCAGGUCAAGAUUUUACAUUUGUGCUUUUAAGUUCAAAUCUUAUCUUCAAAUCUAUCUUGAGAUGUUCAACUGAUACCAGUACUUCAGAAUAAAUACCAUAGUUUUUUCUCUGAGACUGUUGCCGAGAAAUAUUCAGAUCUGACUAAUGAAACCUGAAAGAUCUCAAAAUAUUUUCAGCAAGAAAGUAGGAGCCAGUAACUUCAUGCCAGGAUCAUUCAUUUUAACUAAUAGAUUUUCUGAAGUGAUAAAGCAAGUAUCAAAGGCAUACAUAAUCCAGCGAGAACGGGUUUUUCAUGAACCUCAUUUGAAAUGAAUCAGAGGUAGGGCUGUGCCCAUAAUUAGUGCCAGAUCUCACUAUGCGAUUAAUGCCCAGAAAACAUGAAAAAGGCAGAAGUAGUAAAAUGCCUCUAAAAGCCUGGUUGGCUUUGUUCAUUCCGAAGCAACAAAAGAUAGGAGGGCAACCUUCUGUUGAUCCAGCAGGAAAAGCAUCCCUUGUCAAACCAUACUCAGAUGUUGGUCAACAACUGGUUUAGAUUGAAGAUUUUGUUUGACCAAAAGUUCCCAUUAACAGAAAACAAACAACUGUAACAAACUAAGUGAGGCAGAGGAAGGUAUGUAUGGACAAUGUAUUCAAACUGCUUCUGGUGACCGAGUUUUCCAAUGGAACCGUGUCUCCUUCUGAAAUCUGGAGUUUUUAAAGCGCUGGGCAGCAACCUUUAUAAAGCAGGACACUUGUGGUAUGCAAAGUACUUCCAAGAGCCUGAAGGCCAAGUGUACAUUUCCUCUUUCUUAAGACUUGCUGGGCCUGAAAGAAAAGCUAUAAAAAUAACAUUCCAUCCAAGAACAAAAAUCUCCAUUUCUAAGUUUCAAAAAAACAAAAACCGAACCUGCCCUAAAUAAAAAAAACCUCUACAGCAGAACAAACCGGAUGAGAAUCCAGCUCCAGACAAAAUGUGUUGAGGAAUCCACUCUGGAGCUGAGCAAGUUUUCUUUUGUCCCAGAAUAACCUUGACUCCCCCUCCCCUUGUAAGCCAUAAUCAUGUUGACUCCCUAAAUACCGACUGCCUCGGCCCCAAAUGCUCAGGAGCGGGAAGGUUGUCUGCAGUUUGCAGACAUGAAAGGGUGUCAUUCUGACUCCACACAUUACAGUAAGGAGGCCCCUCCUCCGUCUGUCUGCCUCAUAAUUACUGGCCUGGGCGGGGCCAAGGUUUUAAAAAGGAUUUCCCUUGUUUGACUAAAAGUCAGUGACUUUACGUGGUAAGUUCCCAGCUCAGAUUCUUGGCAGCUGGACACAAACACCACAUGAGCACGCUCUCUUUCCUUGCCCUUUCUUUCCUUCUCUCUUUCAAGGUGGAAUUAUACAGCAAGAGGCCUCUGGGCUGAGUCCUUUCUGCACAGCAUGUCCUGAGUGCUAGUGGUGCCAAUGGUGUCCCGCAGCUUCUCCUUCCUCCUGCUGCUGCCUGCUGGGGUUCCUGGUGAUGUGAUUUUACCUUGAUGUUCAGAAUCACAUUGCCAGGGAUUUCCAACUGUUGGCAAGCUCCUCCGCCUGUAUGGAAACUCCAUAAACUGAGGCUCCGGAUGUCACUCGCCGAGGAGAGUCAACCUGGAGAGUGCAAGGAGUCACAGCAAGCUACCAGCUGCAGAGACAAGCGCAUGGGCGUACAGGAGAAUAAUUGGGCAGGGAGGAGGGAAUUCCUCAGACUGCAUAGGGUAGGGCUUAGCUCACUUGUGAACAGCGUUUUUUUAAGCCAUGUUCACAGUGGCUAAGUUCCGCCACUUGGAGUCCAUUCUCUCCUCUGCGCAUUCAGUCCUAUCUCAGUAAGAGGGGAUCCCAAGAGGACCAACUGAGCAGAAAGGAAAACACAGACAUGGUCCUUCUGCAAGAUUCAAAAUGGCCAAGAGUAUCCUGCUUGAUUACAACAAAGAGAGAGAUUGGGGCCAGGACACCCAGGUCCUGCUUCCUCCACAGGGCCCAAGCCUCCCGUGCCUACUGAGCUGAUAUUCAGUUGUUUUGGAAAAACUGGCUCAGUUCAGCAGGAACAGGAGUCCUGCCCAGGUUUCACCAGGAGCCCAACAUUGGGCCCAGCGCAGGUCUUUCUCUCCCUCACCCCCGUCACCCAGACCCUUCCGUGCAAUCGGGGCUGGCAAUGGUUUCUCCACACUUAAACAACUCAAGAGACGGCCCCGAAUUCCACAGCCUAUAUUGGACUGGAUUGCCUGCGUUUUUUCCUCUACCGCAGCCUGGCAAGGUGUGUGUGUUUGUGUGUGUGUGUGUGCAGAGAAUGGAGCCUCUUCUCCAAACUUCUGGACGAAUGAGGGAGGGGAGAAUAGGGAGCUGGAAAAUCUCCCACAUCACCUUCCCUUGCUUCAGGUAAUUCAAAAUGUGUAUAGUAUUGUAAAUAAAGAAUAGUGGACAAAUUCA